CCGACUCCGACGUCAGGCUGUCUCGAAGAGUUCUCCGGGACGUGCGCCGAGGGAGGGACCUGGAGCAGAUUCUGACGCAGUACACCACCUUCGUGAAGCCGGCCUUCGAGGAGUUCUGCCUGCCGGUACCUGUGCUCGCUGCUUCAGAGCCCAUUUUCCCCUUUCACAAGGACACAUGGGACCCAGUACUGUGAGAGGGCUUAGUGCUGGGUGACAGUGAUCUGAUUGAAAAAAAGGAGAAGAAUUUGGCUCAUUAUGGCCACAUACCCUGGGA
rnacentral:lncRNA from 1 species